rnacentral:antisense_RNA from 1 species
AGCUCUGCCACUGGGCAUGCUCCAGCGCCCCAAAAGGCAGGGGGCAGUCGGGGACCGGGGUCCCGGAGCCCUAUGGGAGGCGGGCAACACCUGUCGGGACCCGAGGGGUUGUCUCAGAUUGUGACCUGAGGUUCUGCGCCUUCUGAUUUGGGGCAAUGGACAUCCUUUAGCCUCCAGCCCAGAUUCUCCUACCAGCUGCCUGGGUAAUGUCAGUGGAAUUCCUAAAGGGAUGCCUUUAAAAUGUGUGAAUAAGCUUCAAUCAGACUGCCCUUCCCAAAGAAAAUAUAAAUGCUGGAAAAACUACAAAACAGCCACCUGAAGGCACUGGCGAGUGACAAAAGCAAGCAAAUUCUGGAAAAGAGUCAACACUUGGAAGAAGGGAGCUGCACUGGGUACAUGGGGAAGGAACAGUGUCUCUGCAUGAGAAUGGCCAAAGAACAAGAUACAUUUCCCAGUGGAGAACAAUCCUAGAGAGAGGGAAGCAUGGGGCAGAAUAAGGUAUGCUGGCCCCAGGGUAAUAACAUUUAUUUCUGUUGCAUUGGUGUUUCCAAAAAAAUGCUUCGGUUCCAAGUUUCAGGAAUUGGUUGGGGGAGCAUGGGGAUCAUACAGUGAUUCAGGAGCUUCCUUGCAAGUAACUGAGUGAGCCAAUCAAAUAAUUUAUGUUUAAAUCUUUCACUGUGUUAAAUGUCGAAAAAUAAAACAAGUGAAUUCUA